rnacentral:lncRNA from 1 species
GUAGUUCAUUAUUUAGAAUUUGAGCUACAGCUUCAUUAAAUAGUUUAUUGGCGUUUUAGUGGAAGUUUGGUGUAACUUUUUGGUUUUUAUAUAAACUGUUCUUACAGAUUUUUAUAUAUAACUGUUAUUUGGACCACAUGUUAAAUCUCAUGACUUCCCCCUAAGAAGAGACAAGCAAGUUUUAAACUGAUCUACAGAUUUGAACACUAAUCUCUUCCUUUGAAUCUUAGAUACAUGCAUCACCACUAAGCAAUUUUUAAAGACUAAAGUUAAUUUUUUUGUUCCAAUUUUGGAUUUUCUCAAGAGUUUAGAGUUAAUUUUUAACUGUCUGAACACUUUAAGAAAAAUCUUCAUUGUGAACACAUAAAAAGUUAUUUCACCUGUAAAUGAAUGAGGUGUCAGAAAAGCUUGAUGUGUACAAUACUAAGUCCAAAAUAGGUAGUCUUCCUAAACAUUUAACUUAUCUUUAACAACGUAUUCAACAGCUACUCCCUGCAGCCACAGACUGAACCAGCAUUCAGAAACACUGGUGACUAUUACCUCUA